CUCCGUUCCCCUCCCUGCAGAAUCUAGACGACAGUGUGUUUUCCAAACGGCACGCAAAGCUGGAGCUGGACGAGAAGAGGAGGAAAAGGUGGGACAUCCAGCGGAUCAGGGAACAACGGAUGCUGCAGCGGCUGCAGCUCCGCAUGUACAGGCGCAAAGGGAUCCAGGAGUCGGAGCCCGAAGUUACCUCAUUUUUCCCUGAGCCAGAUGACGUGGAGAGCUUGCUCAUCACCCCCUACCUGCCCGUCGUCGCCUUCGGCCGCCCGCUGCCAAAGCUAAC